rnacentral:lncRNA from 1 species
UUUGCAGCCAGUCUGGUCCACAAAGCAAGUUCCAGGUCAGCCGGACCCUUCUGAAAAAUAAGUAAGUAAAUAAAUCUCUGGGACCCCACUUGCUCCCCCAGCCCUUUGUGCGGCCUCUGUUUGUGGCACUCCUCCAGUCUACCUCACUAAACAGAACUGGCCGUGGCCUGACUCUACGACCCCAAGCCCUGACAGUAGGCCCGUUACUACUGUGGUGUAUAGCAAUAGGCCAGCAGGCACCUGCAGAAUCCAGGACCUCUGCGGGUCCGUUUCCCACUUCUGUCCCAGCUCCCGGGUCCCACAGCCACCCAUGUUCAUUUGCAUCAAAGAAGAAAACGCAGGGACAACUUGGGGAAGAUGAUAAACGUGGAUUCCUGUCUUUCUCUCCCUGCAGAGGCAGCCACUUCUGAGACACCUCAGGAUCCAGUCCCUUCUUGCCACCUGCCGUCGACAGGCGCCCCUCCAUCUGCAGCCGCCUCAGGAGCUGCUUCUCUGGUGCACAAGUGGUCCAGCUGCAUUCUCAUUACUUACAUGCAAGCCAGAGCUCGGGGGUUCAGCCGUCUAUUCUCAGGAAGAAAUGAGGCCGAUGCUCUCUCUAGCCAGUGCACAUAUUACUGACCUGUGGCACUUCCAACCCUAGGAGUCCAAGAUCUGCCCUCCCCAUAAAUGCACCCAGGCAUCCUGACUACUGUGUCAUCACUCAGUACAAAACCACCUCAGGGAGUGAGAAACCGCUGUCCCCAGCUUCUCUAAUCCUUCCAGUUAUGCAAGGCCUCUGCUGAAGACCUGGCUCUCAAGUUGGCAUGGAAUUUCACAGAGCACAGAGGAGCAGAAAGAGGUAAAACAGGCCCAAAGAAUCCCAUUUUAUACAGCACAAACUAAGCCUCUGAAAUUAAAAAGUCCAGCCAAGCCACAGCAGAACUACCAGUCUGCAGCCAUGGUUAGGAACAACACUCCUUCUUUUUUUUUGGUGUGUGUGUGUGUGUGUGUGUGUGUGUGUGUGUGUGUGUGUGUUGGAUGGAGGAUGCCAAAGAAGACCAGAAGAAGGUUUCAGACACUUUGGAGCUGGAGUUAUAAGC